rnacentral:pre_miRNA from 1 species
AGCUUCUUGAAUCCGUGCAGAUUUUGUCAGACAUCAUACCAAAGGGAUUGACGAGACUUUCAAAAUAAGUUAAGCG